rnacentral:rRNA from 1 species
GACGAACGCUGGCGGCGUGCUUAACACAUGCAAGUCGAACGGAAAGGCCCUGCUUUUGUGGGGUGCUCGAGUGGCGAACGGGUGAGUAACACGUGAGUAACCUGCCCUUGACUUUGGGAUAACUUCAGGAAACUGGGGCUAAUACCGGAUAGGAGCUCCUGCUGCAUGGUGGGGGUUGGAAAGUUUCGGCGGUUGGGGAUGGACUCGCGGCUUAUCAGCUUGUUGGUGGGGUAGUGGCUUACCAAGGCUUUGACGGGUAGCCGGCCUGAGAGGGUGACCGGCGACAUUGGGACUGAGAUACGGAACAGACUCGUACGGGAGGCAGGAGUGGGGAAUAUUGCACAAUGGGAGGAAGCCUGAUGCAGCAACGCCGCGUGCGGGAUGACGGCCUUCGGGUUGUAAACAGCUUUCGCCUGUGACGAAGCGGGAGUGACGGUAAUGGGUAAAGAAGCACCGGCUAACUACGUG